rnacentral:rRNA from 1 species
UUGUACUGUGAAACUGCGAAUGGCUCAUUAAAUCAGUUAUCGUUUAUUUGAUAGUACCUUACUACAUGGAUACCUGUGGUAAUUCUAGAGCUAAUACAUGCUAAAAACCCCGACUUCAGGAAGGGGUGUAUUUAUUAGAUAAAAAACCAACGCCCUUCGGGGCUCCUUGGUGAAUCAUAAUAACUUAACGAAUCGCAUGGCCUUGCGCCGGCGAUGGUUCAUUCAAAUUUCUGCCCUAUCAACUUUCGAUGGUAGGAUAGUGGCCUACCAUGGUGGCAACGGGUAACGGGGAAUUAGGGUUCGAUUCCGGAGAGGGAGCCUGAGAAACGGCUACCACAUCCAAGGAAGGCAGCAGGCGCGCAAAUUACCCAAUCCCGAUACGGGGAGGUAGUGACAAUAAAUACUGAUACGGGGCUCUUUUGGGUCUCGUAAUUGGAAUGAGAACAAUUUAAAUCCCUUAACGAGGAACAAUUGGAGGGCAAGUCUGGUGCCAGCAGCCGCGGUAAUUCCAGCUCCAAUAGCGUAUAUUAAAGUUGUUGCAGUUAAAAAGCUCGUAGUUGAACCUUGGGCCUGGCUGGCCGGUCCGCCUCACCGCGAGUACUGGUCCGGCUGGGCCUUUCCUUCUGGGGAACCUCAUGGCCUUCACUGGCUGUGGGGGGAACCAGGACUUUUACUGUGAAAAAAUUAGAGUGUUCAAAGCAGGCCUUUGCUCGAAUACAUUAGCAUGGAAUAAUAGAAUAGGACGUGUGGUUCUAUUUUGUUGGUUUCUAGGACCGCCGUAAUGAUUAAUAGGGAUAGUCGGGGGCGUCAGUAUUCAGCUGUCAGAGGUGAAAUUCUUGGAUUUGCUGAAGACUAACUACUGCGAAAGCAUUCGCCAAGGAUGUUUUCAUUAAUCAGGGAACGAAAGUUAGGGGAUCGAAGACGAUCAGAUACCGUCGUAGUCUUAACCAUAAACUAUGCCGACUAGGGAUCGGACGGGAUUCUAUAAUGACCCGUUCGGCACCUUACGAGAAAUCAA